GAUGAACGCUGGCGGCGUGCCUAAUACAUGCAAGUCGAGCGAACAGACGAGGAGCUUGCUCCUCUGACGUUAGCGGCGGACGGGUGAGUAACACGUGGAUAACCUACCUAUAAGACUGGGAUAACUUCGGGAAACCGGAGCUAAUACCGGAUAAUAUAUUGAACCGCAUGGUUCAAUAGAGAAAGACGGUUUUGCUGUCACUUAUAGAUGGAUCCGCGCCGCAUUAGCUAGUUGGUAAGGUAACGGCUUACCAAGGCAACGAUGCGUAGCCGACCUGAGAGGGUGAUCGGCCACACUGGAACUGAGACACGGUCCAGACUCCUACGGGAGGCAGCAGUAGGGAAUCUUCCGCAAAGGGCGAAAGCCUGACGGAGCAACGCCGCGUGAGUGAUGAAGGUCUUCGGAUCGUAAAACUCUGUUAUUAGGGAAGAACAAAUGUGUAAGUAACUAUGCACGUCUUGACGGUACCUAAUCAGAAAGCCACGGCUAACUACGUG
rnacentral:rRNA from 1 species